UAAGUCAGGAGUCUGGCUUAGCAUUGUUGUAAUUCUGAUCGGUCUGACUGUGCCUCUGUGCAUUUUAAGUUGUUUAAAGAUAAUUAGUGAUACAGGUGCAGUUUGCCAGCCAGUGGGAAUGCCUCUAUACCAGUUUGGAGUAAAAUGUACUGUGCAUCUCUACGUCUCACAUCCCUGGAAGAGGGGCCGUGCCGGUCUGGCUGCACUGGGACAGCAAGAGCAGUGCCAGCUCGCUGCCUCUGCGAGGCCUGGAGGAUUUGGCAUCGUUUGCAUCUGCACACUGAUGUCCACGCUACGUCAGAGCCAGUCUGCAGCAGCAAAAAUAAGGAAGGGCUCAGGCCUGCUGCCGUUCAAGGCCCAUCUGUUGCAGAAAGGAAUCCUAUGUUUGAAUUAGUUUGUAAAUUGGAAUAUUGGUGUCCUGGGUGAACAUGCACGCUUGGAAUAUAACUUUGGCUAGACAUGACAAAUUUCAGAGGCGAUGGUACCAAUCCCAUGCAUCCCACUGGCCUGGAGUAACAUUUGGAGCAGCCUGGCAGUGCGAUCCUUUUGGUAACUUUCAAGGAUUUUUGGGAUCAUGGGAUGCAUGGACAUACAGACCCAUGAAGCCCUCUGGAGAAUGCUGGUUGUGGAUAAAAGCAUCUUCAAGUUCUUACCAUCUUUUUACCCUGUUUUUUCCUGGGUCACCUUGUGUCAUUUGGGAAGGAAGCCUCUCUGUCCUGAGGAUUAUAGCGUACCAGUCACUUAGUGGAAUACCUCCCCAGUCAUCUUCUCGAGAUGGAGCCAUUGCUUUACCAAACUGGAAGAUAUCUUUUCUUCUCCCAGAGCUUUUCCAGUGCAGCAGCACUCCUGUCCAGCAGGUCUCGGUUGACUACAAAAAGGAGAAGGGAGGAGCGAGUGGAAGGGAGGUCAGAUCCUGCCAGGGUUUCCUGGGAAAUGAGGUGUAUCCACUCUUUUGAUGAUGAAGAUUGAUGAGCUGCAAUUUGACUUGGAUUACAAUAUUUCAGAAGACUUUCUGAACUUACCAGGCAACCCUCCCUCUAGACUUCGGGGACAGUGGAGCUUAAGUUUAUGUCUCCAGUAUCACACAGGAGAAAGAGCGUUACUUGGUUGCUUUGCACAAGUAAUGAAAAUCAAUGCUGUGUUGCCAUUGGGAGGAAUGCUCAAAAGGAGAAAAACCUGAUAUAUAGAUCUUGUUUUAGAGACAGAUUUUGUCUGUAAAGAGGGUGCUUAAGGGAAGAUACAGGAAGAAAGAGGAGAGGUGAUGCUACAAGCCAGCUUCCUGACUUCCAGAGUGGGACUGAAGCUUCAUAAUAAGCAUCCCUCAACCAGAGCAGAGAAGGAUUGCUUGAAUGGGGAGGUGAAAGAAGAAAUGUUACUUCACUGAGCUAUGUCAAGAAAUUAUAUGGGAAGAAGAAUCACAGGACAGAUGGAAGGAGCCCAGCUGUCUUCUUCUACAGGGAAGACAUCUCUUUGUAGCAUUGAGACUGUCUUCAGGAUUCAUGAUUUAGCUUUCAGAUUUUCUAACUAUGGAAGCUCUCCUGAGGAGCUGCAUCACACACUGCUGCCCCUGGGAUGGGAUGCAGAGCAGGGAGUGAAGAGGAGCUGCAAUGUGCCACUGCAAGUUGCUUUCUUGAGGAGAGAGGCUUUCUGGCAUGUCAUACAGUGCCAAAAGCCAUUUUACUCUUGACAGUAAAAAUCCUUAUCCUUCUUGGGUUUUUUUUUCCAGGACAGAUGAUAUUUCCUGUUAGAGAUGCUUUGUAUGCAAAUCAAAGCAGUACAAGAAAAAAAGUCCUGUAAGCAAUCACACUGAUAAACUCAACCCACUGGGGAAUUCCUGCUUAUCAUUUAUCUUUUCUUUUUUCAGUUCUGUACAAGAUACUUCUUUGCCUGUGCUUUCUUAUGGUCUUUAAAGUUUGUCCUGCCAGACCUCUUACUCAUGAACUACAGUGCUACUUGCAUUUUGCAGGGCUCCAUGUCAAUCUGAACAAACAAAAGGCAGUAAAUGCUGGAGGUUGGUGUUAACGGUCCCUGUGUUUUAUCUUUGCCCUGGAUUGCUCUAGUGCUUUCUGAAGUUUAAGCUAGGCAUGAACCUCACACUGCAGAUUGCCAUGUGCCUAUAGUGAUGGUCUACCUGGGAAGCCCAGAAACUUUCAGAAAGCUCAGGAAAGGAAUGAGGAGAGCAAAUAUGUGGGAGACCAGAAAGCUGGCUAAGAUAUGGACUCCUGCACUUUGGAUGUCUGAAGCUGCAUGGGGUGAACUCCCCUCUCAUUGCCUGCAUGAGUGAGCAGGAGUUACUGGAACAAAGCACCUAAUUCAGAACUGUCUGACACCAUCCUAGAUGAAAAUAAUAUGGAAACUUUAAUCAGCUCUCUGCAGCUGAGCAGUCCCUGGAGGUCCUGUACCAAGCCUGACCCACUUGCUGAACCCCAGCAGUGCAGCACUGGGCACUGCACCUGCCUUCAGAAGAAUGAAAGGACAGCAAUCUGAAAAGAGAUAAGCACAGGGGAUGGCAAUCUGUGGAAGACAUUGCUGAGAAGAAGAUUCCCAUGUGCUCUUCAGAAGGGCUACUGAGCUGCCAAAGAAGCGCCAAGCUUUCUCCUUCCUGUGUGUACCCAUCCUGCUGGCUGCAGCUGGGGUGCCACGAACCCUUGCUGGACCCCAAGAGGAUGCAAGGCUCUGUCACUCCCUGGCAUGCUGAGGCCUGGCCAGACUCCCCAGGCAGAGUGAUGCUCCAGGGCCUCUGGACAACCUCCUUCCUGGGCACAACACACCUUGAUUUUCUGGUGUUUUUUUUAAUUUUUUAAUUUUGGCCGAUUGAAUAACUGAAGUACAAACCUCCUUCACCUAUUUGACAUUAAUUCACUGAUGGAUGGCAUAAUGUUUCAUGUUUAUUUUUUAACGCAUGGGGUGAUGAUGUGAUUAUAAGCCUCACAUCCAUGGUGUAUCUUUGAACCAUCUGAAAAGUGUGAGUUUUUACAGAAAACAUGAGAAGGGGGGGGGGGGGGGGGGAAUAAAUUUUUUUAAUCCCUGAAUUUCAUUCUAAGUUUUGAACAAAUCAGAUGUAUUUCAUGGGACCAAAAAAGCUGUGAUUUUUUCCCCUUUUCUUUCUUCAGUGUUGUUUUUUUGUUUUAUUUAACUUUUUUUUGGAAUUAAAAUGUUUACUCACAUAUAAA